CAGCAGUGACACUGUGCAUCCCUGGCAUCUGCCUUUUGGUGUAGGCUAAAGCAACUGAAGUGUCUGCUUUCACACUCAAGUGCUUUGAAGACAGAGACCACAGAGCAUUAGCUCUCAGCUUUGGAGACAUGAACUUUCCUUUUGUUGGACAAAGUGAGCUUUGUUGCAUAAAACUUUGGUUUGGAACUAACACUUACUCUGGAGCAAAGAAUCCAUUGAAAGAGUUUGAAAAACUCCAUUCAAUAAGAUAGGACUGUGGCAAUUUCACCGGUCAUGGUGAGAGAGGAGGAAGAGGCUACCAGCAAGAUGGAAAAAUCCUACAAACAGUUGGAAAACUUACAGAAUAAAGGCCUUGAACUGAAACAUGAAGUUUCAAAUCUAAAAUACUUGAAUAUAAGCUAUAUAGA